UGAGGAAUAUUGGUCAAUGGGCGUGAGCCUGAACCAGCCAAGUAGCGUGCAGGAAGACGGCCCUAUGGGUUGUAAACUGCUUUUAUGCGGGGAUAAAGGAGUCCACGUGUGGAUUUUUGCAGGUACCGCAUGAAUAAGGACCGGCUAAUUCCGUGCCAGCAGCCGCGGUAAUACGGAAGGUCCGGGCGUUAUCCGGAUUUAUUGGGUUUAAAGGGAGCGUAGGCCGCGUUUUAAGCGUGUUGUGAAAUGUAGACGCCCAACGUCUGCAUCGCAGCGCGAACUGGGACGCUUGAGUACGCGCAACGUUGGCGGAAUUCGUCGUGUAGCGAUGAAAUGCUUAGAUAUGACGAGGAACUCCGAUUGCGAAGGCAGCUGACGGGAGCGGCACUGACGCUUAAGCUCGAAGGUGCGGGUAUCAAACAGG
rnacentral:rRNA from 1 species